rnacentral:tRNA from 1 species
GUGGGAUUGGCGCAGUUGGUUAGCGCGUCAGGUUGUGGCCCUGAAGGCCAUGGGUUCGAGUCCCAUAUCUCACCCCA